rnacentral:rRNA from 1 species
GGAAGGAUCAUUACCGAGUUCUCGGGCUUCGGCUCGACUCUCCCACCCUUUGUGAACGUACCUCUGUUGCUUUGGCGGCUCCGGCCGCCAAAGGACCUUCAAACUCCAGUCAGUAAACGCAGACGUCUGAUAAACAAGUUAAUAAACUAAAACUUUCAACAACGGAUCUCUUGGUUCUGGCAUCGAUGAAGAACGCAGCGAAAUGCGAUAAGUAAUGUGAAUUGCAGAAUUCAGUGAAUCAUCGAAUCUUUGAACGCACAUUGCGCCCCUUGGUAUUCCGGGGGGCAUGCCUGUUCGAGCGUCAUUACAACCCUCAAGCUCUGCUUGGAAUUGGGCACCGUCCUCACUGCGGACGCGCCUCAAAGACCUCGGCGGUGGCUGUUCAGCCCUCAAGCGUAGUAGAAUACACCUCGCUUUGGAGCGGUUGGCGUCGCCCGCCGGACGAACCUUCUGAACUUUUCUCAAGGUUGACCUCGGAUCAGGUAGGGAUACCCGCUGAACUUAAGCAUA